rnacentral:rRNA from 1 species
UAGCGUAGGGGGCAAGCGUUGUUCGGAUUCAUUGGGCGUAAAGGGUGCGUAGGCGGCGCGGUAAGUCGGGUGUGAAAUCUCGGAGCUUAACUCCGAAACUGCAUUCGAUACUGCCGUGCUUGAGGACUGGAGAGGAGACUGGAAUUUACGGGUGUAGCGGUGAAAUGCGUAGAUAUCGUAAGGAAGACCAGUGGCGAAGGCGGGUCUCUGGACAGUUCCUGACGUGAGGCACGAAAGGUCAGGGGGAGCAAAACGGGG